GACGAACGCUGGCGGCGUGCUUAACACAUGCAAGUCGAGCGGAAAGGCCACUUCGGUGGUACUCGAGCGGCGAACGGGUGAGUAACACGUGAGUAAUCUGCCCCUGGCUUUGGGAUAGCCACCGGAAACGGUGAUUAAUACCGGAUAUGACCACGUCUCGCAUGGGGUGUGGUGGAAAGUUUUUCGGCCAGGGAUGUGCUCGCGGCCUAUCAGCUUGAUGGUGAGGUAAUGGCUCACCAUGGCUUCGACGGGUAGCCGGCCUGGGAGGGUGACCGGUCACACUGGGACUGAGACGCGGCCCAGAGUCUUACGGGAGGCAGCAGUGGGGAAUAUUGGACAAUGGGCGGAAGCCUGAUCCAGCAACGCCGCGUGAGGGAUGACGGCCUUCGGGUUGUAAACCUCUUUCAGUACCGACGAAGCGCAAGUGACGGUAGGUACAGAAGAAGCACCGGCCAACUACGUGCCAGCAGCCGCGGUAAAAC
rnacentral:rRNA from 1 species